rnacentral:rRNA from 1 species
GACAGAGGUGGCAAGCGUUGUUCGGAAUUACUGGGCUUAAAGGGCGCGUAGGCGGUGGGACAAGUCUGAGGUGGAAUUCUAGAGCUUAACUGUAGGAUUGCCUUGGAAACUGUUUCACUUGAGUCGGACAGGGGAAGGCGGAAUUCCUGGUGUAGCGGUGAAAUGCGUAGAUAUCAGGAGGAAGGCCUGUGGCGAAGGCGGCCUUCUGGGUCUUGACUGACGCUGAGGCGCGAAAGCGUGGGGAGCAAACAGG